rnacentral:lncRNA from 10 species
UUACCGGACACUGAUCGACCAGCAGGUGGUCUAUAUCCAUCCUUCCAGUGCCCUCUUCAACAGACAGCCAGAAUGGACCGUCCCUAUGGGGCAUGUGUGAGCUCCGCAGCUGGGUCAGGCUCCUCGGUCCAGGUUUACUUCAUCCCGCCUGGACGUGAUUUGGCUUUGACUGUCUCUCCUGCAGCCCAAAGCACUUCCUCCCUGUGGUUGCUGUAGCUGUCUCAUUGGAGCAGUGCCUCUCCAAGUUUGAGGAUUUGAACAAAGAACUGGGACUGGUGACUUGUUAAUGAACAGUUCAGAGGGCAGAGGGCCAUCAUCUCAGCUUGUGGAGACCUUUCUUUCCCUGGAUGCUGCUUCUCAGCUAACUCCCUCUCUCUUCGUGUGUGUACUCGGCCUUCAGGGUUUCCACCGAUUUUUACACCUUCUUCCCACCACGAUAGCUUGGCUUUAAUGUGGAAUUAAAUUAUAUAUUUUUAAAACCUGUUUUUAAAA